rnacentral:rRNA from 1 species
UACGUAGGGGGCAAGCGUUAUCCGGAUUUACUGGGUGUAAAGGGCGUGUAGCCGGGCCGGCAAGUCAGAAGUGAAAGCCCGGGGCUCAACUCCGGGACUGCUUUUGAAACUGUACAGCUUGAUUGCAGGAGAGGCAAGUGGAAUUCCUAGUGUAGCGGUGAAAUGCGUAGAUAUUAGGAGGAACACCAGUGGCGAAGGCGGCUUACUGGACGGUAACUGACGCUGAGGCUCGAAAGCGUGGGGAGCAAACAGG